GUAGCGCUGGCCUUACGAGUGAAAGUGGGUUCACUCCGAGAAAAGCCAGCAAACGCAGAAAGGGGGUUUUGUUGCUCCGAAGCACCGGGAAACGUCGAUUCUGCAGCCCCGGGGAGUACAAUACAUUAUUUUUCCUUGAUGAAACAUGAAGGUGAGAUGGCCUCAGGAUAAUCUGAAUAUUAACAAAACAUUGAGCAUAAUGUCACAUUAAAAUAUUGGAACUCAAUGAAAAAAAUUACACUCAAAAUAACACCAGUCAUCUAUCUCUAGGACGGACUGUACCCUGGAUGCAGUUGAGCCGGCACUGAUCCCAAGAACGCAGGGAAUGAGGCAGGAGUAAACCUGGCACAGGACGCCCUCAUUCACAUCACAAAGCUUUUCAACAUAUUCAAUCCAACUACAGGCAGGCAAAUAGACCAAAUAACCCCCAAAAAACCUCAUGCUCAUACCCUGAAUAUGGACUUAUGGCAGACAAUGGACAAUUAUUGGGUCUAAAAUGAACAAGCAACAUGGGAUGUAGAUAAUCAGGACUAAAAUUACCAGUUGUUGGAUUUGGCAAAACUACUCACCAGUUAUAGUCUUACAUAAAACGAUCUGAUCUCAAAAUAACAGGGCAUAUUGGACCUGAAAUUAUCAGACCAUAAAUGAGCAUGUAACACUGUAAAAGGGAGGGUGAAAAGCAUUUGCAAAAUUAGUUUUAGGAUAUUUGUUACUUUAGUAAAAACAACAGAAAAUCUAGAAGAAAAAAUGUAUCCAACCAACGGAAAAAGUGAGGUAUUUUAAUAACACAUUCAAGCCCGUUUUUGCAUUGCUACAGUCACUGAGCUCUUUGUUCAUAUAAACAAAAUACAAAAAAACAAGAAAACAAACAAAAUGUACCUAAUGAAAAAAAUACAAUGGGUAAAUACAA